CUUGUUCCCGCGGGGCUCCGGGCGGCCGCGACCCUGCCGGAGUCCGGGGGGGACCUCCAGAAACCCGGGGGGUCCCUGACUCUCGUGUGCCGCGCAUCCGGGUUUGAGGUAGGGAAUUACAGAAUGUUCUGGAUCCGCCAGAGCCCCGGGAAAGCGCUGGAAUUCGUCGCACAGAUCAGCAGCAAUGCUGGUUACACCAAUUACGCGCCGUCGGUCAAGGGCCGGUUCACGAUCUCCAGGGACAACGGGCAGAGCUCGGUGACGCUGACCAUGACCAACCUCAAGGACGACGAUUCCGGCUCCUAUUUCUGUGCCAAAUCUGCUCCUGGUGAUAACGGUUACGCUGUUGAUGGUUUUGGCCGCAUC